CGUGGCCAAGUGGUUAAGACACCAGACUGGUAACCUAGGGGUUGCAGGUUCGAGCCCGG
rnacentral:tRNA from 1 species